AACGUAGGAGACAAACGUUAUCCGGAGUUACUGGGCGUAAAGGGCGUGCAGGUGGUCUGUUAAGUCUGGCGUGAAAGCUCUCGGCUAAACCGGGAGAGGUCGUUGGAUACUGGCGGACUAGAGGACGGUAGAGGCGUGUGGAAUUCCGGGUGUAGUGGUGAAAUGCGUAGAUAUGCGGAGGAACACCGAUGGCGAAGGCAAUCCCCUGGGCCUGCACUGACGCUCAUGCACGAAAGCGUGGGGAGCAAACAGG
rnacentral:rRNA from 1 species